UCCAUCGAUACGUUACUUGACGCGUCUCCAUGGGACACAAGUCUGUUCUUUCUCUCAACAUCACGUCCUUUGUUUAUGACACCGUUAUCUUGGUAUGCAAAUUGCGUUCCGUUGUUCCGUGUCUCUUCGGCUUCUGAACCUUUCGUGAAGCCUUACGAAACUAUCUGCGUUCUCUCCUCCCCGUACUUCCCCCUGAACUUUAAAUGGGUACACGAGAAUCAGAC